UACGUAGGGUGCAAGCGUUAAUCGGAAUUACUGGGCGUAAAGCGUGCGCAGGCGGUUGUGCAAGACCGAUGUGAAAUCCCCGGGCUUAACUUGGGAAUGGCAUUGGUGACUGCACGGCUAGAGUGUGUCAGAGGGGGGGUAGAAUUCCACGUGUAGCAGUGAAAUGCGUAGAGAUGUGGAGGAAUACCGAUGGCGAAGGCAGCCCCCUGGGCCUGCACUGACGCUCAUGCACGAAAGCGUGGGGAGCAA
rnacentral:rRNA from 1 species